UCAAAAUGUGCUGGGGCAGCUGGAGAAAAAAGAAAGAGGAGUGAUCUUUGUGGUCUUUCAGAAGAAAUAAUAAAGCAAAGAAGAGCAAAGAUAAACUGUGUGUAACCUCCAGUGACAAGAAGGAGUCAUCAGUGCUGAGGUCCUACUCUGCAAGCCCGCCGACUUCAAAACCCGGCCCAUUGGCACCAAAGACUGCCAGGCUAACAGUGUGCAGAGAACCAACAGAGACAGACGCCAAAGGAACUGCAGAAAGCGGAGCUAAAGCUGCUGAUCACAGGUGAUCGGGAUGCUGUGAGGCACCACCGGAGGCAUUGAUCUACAGCUCAGAGAAGUGACAUCAGGGAAGCAUCUCAGCUACUUCAAAAGGCACUGUAUUCCUUCUGGACUCUUUUGGCACGUCAGACCCAACAGGCCAAGCAGAAAUGCCCCGCGUUGUUACACAUUUGCCUCUGAUGUGUCUGAUGCACCUGGCCAGCCUUUCUG
rnacentral:lncRNA from 1 species